rnacentral:rRNA from 1 species
UGGGGAAUUUUGGACAAUGGGCGCAAGCCUGAUCCAGCCAUGCCGCGUGAGUGAAGAAGGCCUUCGGGUUGUAAAGCUCUUUCGUGCGGGAAGAAACAGCAAAAGCUAAUAUCUUUUGCGAAUGACGGUACCGCAAGAAGAAGCACCGGCCAACUACGUGCCAGCAGCCGCGGUAAUACGUAGGGUGCAAGCGUUAAUCGGAAUUACUGGGCGUAAAGCGUGCGCAGGCGGUUGUCCAAGUCAGGUGUGAAAGCCCCGGGCUUAACCUGGGAAUUGCGCUUGAAACUGGAUGGCUAGAGUGUGGCAGAGGGGGGUGGAAUUCCACGUGUAGCAGUGAAAUGCGUAGAGAUGUGGAGGAACACCGAUGGCGAAGGCAGCCCCCUGGGCUAACACUGACGCUCAGGCACGAAAGCGUGGGGAGCAAACAG